AUGGCGUACUUUUUGUAGAACGGUCCGGCGAGUUACUAAUGCCAGCGAGGUUAAGAUGUCAGAAGCAUCGGAGCCGAAGGGAAACCAAGUCUGAAUAGGGCGUAGAGUUGGUAUUAGUAGACCCGAAACCGGGUGACCUAUCCAUGUCCAGGUUGAAGGAACCGUAAAAGGUUUUGGAGGACCGAACACACAUGUGUUGAAAAACGUGGUGAUGAGGUGUGGAUAGCGGAGAAAUUCCAAUCGAACUCGGAGAUAGCUGGUUCUCCUCGAAAUAGCUUUAGGGCUAGCCUCGAGCUGGAGUCUAACGGAGGUAAAGCACUGAACUGACGCGGGGCCCAAAAAGGUUACCAACUCAUAUCAAACUAAGAAUGCCGUCAAGAUACCCUCGGGAGUCAGUCUGCGUGAGAUAAGUCGCGUGGACAAAAGGGAAAGAGCCCAGACCGACAGCUAAGGUCCCAAAGUACGUGUUAAGUGGAAAAGGAUGUGGGAUUUCAUAGACAACUAGGAUGUUGGCUUAGAAGCAGCCAUACAUUUAAAGAGUGCGUAAUAGCUCACUAGUCGAGAAAACCUGCGCCGAAAAUGUAACGGGGCUAAAACACGACACCGAAGCUACGGAUUUCCUACAAGGUAGGAAGUGGUAGAGGAGCAUCCUGCAAGGACGAAGCCAAAGUGAGAGCGAUGGUGGACGAAACAGGAGAGAGAAUGCCGGAAUGAGUAGCGAGAUACAUGUGAGAAACAUGUAGGCCGAAUAUCUAAGGAUUCCUGGGUAAAGCUAAUCUUCCCAGGGUUAGUCGGGGCCUAAGGCGAGGACGAAAGUCGUAGUCGAUGGAUAACAGGUUGAUAUUCCUGUACUACACAUAAUCAGAACUGUGGGGACGCAGGAGGAUAGGGAAACCGGGGAAUGGAAAGACCCGGUCAAGCGUAAAGCUGUGGGAGAUAGGCAAAUCCGUCUCCUGUAAGUGAAACGUGAUGAGGACUGAAAAAAAGUAAGGAAGUUUCCGAAUCCACACUGCCGAGAAAAGCCGCUAUUGCGUUAUGUGUACCCGUACCGUAAACCGACACAGGUAGAUGAGGAGAAAAUCCACAGGCCGACGGGAGAAGUGUUGUUAAGGAACUCGGCAAAAUGACCCCGUAACUUCGGGAUAAGGGGAGCCUCGCAAGAGGCCGCAGAAAAGAGGCACAAGCAACUGUUUAGCAAAAACAUAGGUCUAUGCGAAACCGUAAGGUGAAGUAUAUGGGCUGACGCCUGCCCGGUGCUGGAAGGUUAAAAGGAGAGGUCAGCGCAAGCGAAGCUUUGAAUUCAAGCCCCAGUAAACGGCGGCCGUAACUAUAACGGUCCUAAGGUAGCGAAAUUCCUUGUCAGGUAAGUUCUGACCCGCACGAAAGGCGUAAUGAUUUGUGCACUGUCUCGACAACACGCCCGGUGAAAUUGAAGAACCAGUGAAGAUACUGGUUACCCGCAACAGGACGGAAAGACCCCAUGGAGCUUUACUGCAGCCUGAUACUGGGAUUCGAUGAUAUAUGUACAGGAUAGGUGGGAGGCUAAGAAGCGAGAACGCUAGUUUUCGUGGAGCCGCCGGUGGGAUACCACUCUUAUGUCAUUGAAUUUCUAACCUGCAUCCGUAAUCCGGGUGAGGGACAAUGUCAGGCGGGCAGUUUGACUGGGGCGGUCGCCUCCUAAAAGGUAACGGAGGCGCUCGAAGGUCACCUCAGAAUGAUUGGAAACCAUUCAAAGAGUGUAAAGGCAAAAGGUGGCUUGACUGCGAGAGCGACGGCUCGAGCAGGUACGAAAGUAGGACUUAGUGAUCCGG
rnacentral:rRNA from 1 species